rnacentral:rRNA from 1 species
UAGGGAAUCUUCCACAAUGGGCGCAUGCCUGAUGGAGCAACACCGCGUGAGUGAAGAAGGGUUUCGGCUCGUAAAGCUCUGUUGUUAAAGAAGAACACGUAUGAGAGUAACUGUUCAUACGUUGACGGUAUUUAACCAGAAAGUCACGGCUAACUACGUGCCAG